rnacentral:lncRNA from 1 species
GGGCAGUGAGCCUUUGGUCCAUUCUGAGGUUGGGCUGGUUUCUCCUCUUGGCCCUCCCCUACAGACCAUAAAGGAAAUCAGCAAGAAGUCCCCAGCAAACAUCCACAGAUGGCCCUGGACAUCAGCCACAUUCUGAGAAACAUGUCAUGUUCUGGGAGGGCUAAGGCAUCAACCUCACCUUGCAGGAAUCCCAGUGAAUAUAUUGCCACCCUAUUUGAGCUCAGUGCCCUCAUAGUGUAAUGGCACCAGCAGAUCUGCCUGUGCAUGGACUUCCUGUACUACCCAUUCCUGACGGUGAUGCUUCUGCAGGGCCUGUGACCUGGUGCACAACUUUAGACACCAUCAUCCUGGAGCAGCACUGCACCCUCACUAGCCAGGGUGUUCAUGACUUCCUCAAGGCCAAGGCCACGUUCAAGACUUAAGACUUCAGUGAUGCACUUAUGCUGGGCAAGGUGGCUUCUCGGGUAUCUUAAUUUGGGAGGUAGAAUGCAGCUUGAGAUCAAAUGUCUGAUCAAAGAACUUGAACUUGAUCUGGAGGGCUCUGGGGAGCCAUGGAAGGUGCUGGAUAAAGGAGGGACAGUCAGAUAUGUUUUAGAGAUGACUGUAGAAGGCUGCCUGGAAGGAGUGAACAAGAGCCAGGAGACCCGGGAGGGAGCUUGUGGGGCAGGUCUGGAGAUGGCAAGGGAGGGAUUCUGCUUGGAUGAAAAGUCUUCAGGGACUGUCUCAGGUUACACUCAGGUGCCCUCAGAGCUAAUGUGUUCAGAGGUCUUGUCUCCAGGAUGAAAAUGGGAAGGAGUUGUCAGAUGAGGACAUAUAAAUGGAGGCUGACAUCUUCAUGAGGAUAUGACAGCACAGCCACUGGCCUCUACUGAAUCCUAUGCAACCUCAGAAGACACCCAGGAGUGAUGCCAUCAUGUGGUGCAAGAGUUCUGAGGGACCGCAAUCCUGAAGACAUUGAAUGGUGGGUACAGGGCCUCAUGGCCUGUUCCCCAGCUCCUCUCAUUGGCUCUGCUCCAGGUGGUGAAGGGGGAUAACAUUUCUGUCAAUUCUGC